CGUGUAGGCGGUUGAUUAAGUCAGUUGUUAAAUACCCUAGCUUAACUGGGGAUCGGCAAUUGAUACUGGUUGACUAGAGGAUAAGAGAGAGAAGUGGAAUUCUCGGAGUAGCGGUAAAAUGCAUAGAUCUCGAGAGGAACACCAGUUGCGAAGGCGGCUUCUUGGCUUAUUCCUGACGCUAAAGCGCGAAAGCGUGGGGAGCAAACAGGAUUAGAUACCCUGGUAGUCC
rnacentral:rRNA from 1 species